rnacentral:rRNA from 1 species
UACGUAGGCAGCGAGCGUUGUUCGGAAUUACUGGGCGUAAAGGGCUCGUAGGCGGUCAACUAAGUCGGAUGUGAAAUCCCCAGGCUUAACCUGGGAACUGCAUCCGAUACUGGAUGGCUUGAAUCCGGGAGAGGGAUGCAGAAUUCCAGGUGUAGCGGUGAAAUGCGUAGAUAUCUGGAGGAAUACCGGUGGCGAAGGCGGCAUCCUGGACCGGCAUUGACGCUGAGUGAGCGAAAGCCAGGGGAGCAAACGGG